CGAAGCAGCGAUGUGAAGCAAAUCGCACCAAAGCCGGUCCCAGUUCGGAUAAGAGGCUGAAACUCGCCUCUUUGAAGUCGGAAUCGCUAGUAAUCGCAGAUCAGCAUGUUGCGGUGAAUACGUUUCCUGGUCUUGUACACACCGCCCGUCAAACCAUGAGAGUCGCCAACACCCGAAGUCCGCUUUGCGGCCUAAGGUGGGGGAGAUGAUUGGGGUUAAGUCGUAACAAGGUACC
rnacentral:rRNA from 1 species